GCGGGGGCGGGCGUGCUAUACAUGCAAGUCGAACGAACUCUGGUAUUGAUUGGUGCUUGCAUCAUGAUUUACAUUUGAGUGAGUGGCGAACUGGUGAGUAACACGUGGGAAACCUGCCCAGAAGCGGGGGAUAACACCUGGAAACAGAUGCUAAUACCGCAUAACAACUUGGACCGCAUGGUCCGAGUUUGAAAGAUGGCUUCGGCUAUCACUUUUGGAUGGUCCCGCGGCGUAUUAGCUAGAUGGUGGGGUAACGGCUCACCAUGGCAAUGAUACGUAGCCGACCUGAGAGGGUAAUCGGCCACAUUGGGACUGAGACACGGCCCAAACUCCUACGGGAGGCAGCAGUAGGGAAUCUUCCACAAUGGACGAAAGUCUGAUGGAGCAACGCCGCGUGAGUGAAGAAGGGUUUCGGCUCGUAAAACUCUGUUGUUAAAGAAGAACAUAUCUGAGAGUAACUGUUCAGGUAUUGACGGUAUUUAACCAGAAAGCCACGGCUAACUACGUGCCAGCAGCCGCGGUAAUACGUAGGUGGCAAGCGUUGUCCGGAUUUAUUGGGCGUAAAGCGAGCGCAGGCGGUUUUUUAAGUCUGAUGUGAAAGCCUUCGGCUCAACCGAAGAAGUGCAUCGGAAACUGGGAAACUUGAGUGCAGAAGAGGACAGUGGAACUCCAUGUGUAGCGGUGAAAUGCGUAGAUAUAUGGAAGAACACCAGUGGCGAAGGCGGCUGUCUGGUCUGUAACUGACGCUGAGGCUCGAAAGUAUGGGUAGCAAACAGGAUUAGAUACCCUGGUAGUCCAUACCGUAAACGAUGAAUGCUAAGUGUUGGAGGGUUUCCGCCCUUCAGUGCUGCAGCUAACGCAUUAAGCAUUCCGCCUGGGGAGUACGGCCGCAAGGCUGAAACUCAAAGGAAUUGACGGGGGCCCGCACAAGCGGUGGAGCAUGUGGUUUAAUUCGAAGCUACGCGAAGAACCUUACCAGGUCUUGACAUACUAUGCAAAUCUAAGAGAUUAGACGUUCCCUUCGGGGACAUGGAUACAGGUGGUGCAUGGUUGUCGUCAGCUCGUGUCGUGAGAUGUUGGGUUAAGUCCCGCAACGAGCGCAACCCUUAUUAUCAGUUGCCAGCAUUAAGUUGGGCACUCUGGUGAGACUGCCGGUGACAAACCGGAGGAAGGUGGGGAUGACGUCAAAUCAUCAUGCCCCUUAUGACCUGGGCUACACACGUGCUACAAUGGAUGGUACAACGAGUUGCGAACUCGCGAGAGUAAGCUAAUCUCUUAAAGCCAUUCUCAGUUCGGAUUGUAGGCUGCAACUCGCCUACAUGAAGUCGGAAUCGCUAGUAAUCGCGGAUCAGCAUGCCGCGGUGAAUACGUUCCCGGGCCUUGUACACACCGCCCGUCACACCAUGAGAGUUUGUAACACCCAAAGUCGGUGGGGUAACCUUUUAGGAACCAGCCGCCUAAGGUGACCAAAUGG
rnacentral:rRNA from 1 species